CUACACGUGACCUGAUUCCCUUAUAAACCGGGAUAUGUAGGAUGCCCAAAACCAGGACUCGGUCACAUCCUUUUCUUUUAUUUCUUUUCGUCUUUCAAAUAAUGGUUAGGUCAAAAAUUAGUCACAGUGUUCACUUCUUUGCUUGAAAACUCUUCAUGUUUCCAAGCAAAGAGGGACAUUCUGUAAACACCUAAUUUUUGACCGAACAUAAGUUUUUACACCCUGUUUAGCUUUUAAAUAUUUCUUUUAGGUCUAGAUUAGAUAUUUUGAUUUUUAUGUCAAUUUUAGUUAGUUUUAUUUUAAAAAUUGAAAACUUUAAAAAUAGAGUCACAUUUUAGAAUAAAUCUUGUUUUCAUUUUAUUUUUAAGAGAAAAGAAAUUUGCAAAAAAAAAAGUUUUCUUCUAAAUUGGGUUUAAUAAAUAAACUAGUGAUUUUAGUAUUCUUUUACUAUGAACUAGCUAUUUAAUUUUUUCUAUAUUUCAUUGGUUUAGAAAUAAUUAGCUAAUUUUCUUAUCCUUAUAUUUUUAAAUUAUUUAACUUUAAUAAACCAAAAAAAAAAAAAAAAAAAAGAGGACCAAAUAACAUAACUUUACCACUAAUCCUAAAAUCCCUACACCAUACGUCUGAUAAUUCUCAACCCAAAACAAACCCUAUAACCUACUACCCUCACCCUCACGUCUCUCACCCAAAACCAACCCCUUAAACUCACGUCUCUCCCUCCUUAUCCUCCAAUCCCUUUUUUUAUGCAACAAACACACACACACUCCUAAGACACAGCACACACACACAUCCAUAUAAAUAUAUACCCAGUAACACAUAUACGGGACACACAGAUCAGAAGCAAUAGUAGAGAAAAAACACAUCAGAAGCAAAAAAACAAAAAACAAAAAAACAGUAAGCAAAGAGAGCAAAAGACACAGUAAAAAAAAAAAUACAUUGAGAGCAAAGAGAAAAAAAAUACCAGCUCCGUAAAGGUUUGGUUUGGAAAUUGAGUUCGAGGUUUUGUUCGCUGUUUCGAGUUCGCGGGCUUGAAAAUCAGCUUUUGUUAGCCUUGGAACUCGGUAGAUUGUACGUUGCUUUUGUUAUUGAUCGAAAAGAAUUUGAAGGUGGAUGGGGAGAUAGACUUGAUCCUUAGGCUGCUUAUCCAGAGAUUGCUUAGAGGAGGUCCGUUUGAUUCGGAGCUGCAGCUAUUGGUAUAAUUCUUUUGGGUAUAUACAUAUGGGCAUGGUGGGGCCCUGUCCCGUCUUUAUGAUGUUGCAUACUCUUUUUAGAGGCUCGUAGAUAGUUGUGUAUAGCUAGAUGUCUCUUUGCCUUGUCGGCUCAUAUUUUGUAUAUCAUUUUGUUAGCCUCGUCGGCUUGUGUAUAUGUAUAUGGGCAUGAUUGAUGAUGUUGAUAUAAAAGUGACCUUGCCGAUAAGAUUUGUA